rnacentral:rRNA from 1 species
UACGUAGGGUGCAAGCGUUAAUCGGAAUUACUGGGCGUAAAGCGUGCGCAGGCGGUUUUUGUAAGUCUGUCGUGAAAUCCCCCGGGCUCAACCUGGGAAUUGCGAUGGAGACUGCAAGGCUAGAAUCUGGCAGAGGGGGGUAGAAUUCCACGUGUAGCAGUGAAAUGCGUAGAGAUGUGGAGGAACACCGAUGGCGAAGGCAGCCCCCUGGGUCAAGAUUGACGCUCAUGCACGAAAGCGUGGGGAGCAAACCGG